rnacentral:misc_RNA from 1 species
GAAAUGCGAUAACUAGUGUGAAUUGCAGAAUUCCGUGAAUCAUCGAGUCUUUGAACGCACAUUGCGCCCCCUGGUAUUCCGGGGGGCAUGCCUGUCCGGGCGUCAUUGCUGCCCAUCAAGCACGGCUUGUGUGUUGGGUCGUCGUCCCCUCUCCGGGGGGGACGGGCCCCAAAGGCAGCGGCGGCACCGCGUCCGAUCCUCGAGCGUAUGGGGCUUUGUCACCCGCUCUGUAGGCCCGGCCGGCGCUUGCCGAACGCAAAUCAAUCUUUUUCCAGGUUGACCUCGGAUCAGGUAGGGAUACCCGCUGAACUUAAGC